rnacentral:rRNA from 1 species
AUUGAACGCUGGCGGGAGGCUUAACACAUGCAAGUCGAACGAGUGGCGGACGGGUGAGUAAUGUCUGGGAAACUGCCUAAUGGCGGGGGAUAACUACUGGAAAGGGUUGCUAAUACCGCAUACCAUCGGAUCUGCCCAGAUCGGAUUAGCUAGUAGGUGGGGUAAAGGCUCACCAAGGCAACGAUCCCUAGCUGGUUUGAGAGGAUGACCAGCCACACUGGAACUGAGACACGGUCCAGACUCCUACGGGAGGCAGCAGUGGGGAAUUUUGCACAAUGGGCGCAAGCCUGAUGCAGCCAUGCCGCGUGUAUGAAGAAGGCCUUCGGGUUGUAAAGUACUUUCAGCGGGGAGGCGUUACCCGCAGAAUAAGCACCGGCUAACUCCGUGCCAGCAGCCGCGGUAAUUC